AAUGUAUCAUAUAUUUUCAGAAGUGGAAGCACUUUCAAUACUUCUAUAAUGUCUGUCAAACGAGGAUAUUUGAGGAAGACAAAAAACAAAGAAAAAGUCACACUUUGCUGUUGCUACCUACACUACGAAAUUACACGGGUGUUCCAUGAUAAAACUGCUUUGAAAGGUUUCUUGAACCAAUACAUAGCAGUGACCGAAAUUCCUUGCCCAAUUCUACAAGCAUCAUGCACGUGCUAUACCGGGACACAGAAAACAUGGCCACCAUGUCAAAGGUGGUCCUGUUUUAACCCACGCACUUGCAGUGCAGCCGUUUGAAUAGGUGGGAAAUACUGCCUCCUGAGCAAGAGCACCAGCUCACUUAUUACUUAUUGAAAUCAAGGGCCUUGAAAACGUCUAGAAUACACGCUGCACAAACACCAGCCGCUUCCUUUUUCGCUUGUUGUCCGGGCACCCAACACAGGCGCAGUGCCACCCAGACGAAUUUUUAUACAUUGCACUGCCGUUCCGAGUAUGUGGCAAGCAAGCAGCUGAGACCGCUACCUAACAGUUCUGAAAGCACUGACACAAGCAAACACACAACGCAAGCACGGCUAUCGCCUCCCGCCAUCAGCAGCCCCCGCCGUCGUCUGCACCACCAGGCGGUGCCUGGUGUCGAGAGUAGAGGCGCGGCUGACACUCGCGCUACGAGGCUAAGAAAAAUCUGGUCGAUAUACCCCAUUACCGUUGGUGGUACACAGGUCUCCGAGGUGCUUCAGUGUCGCAGAGGCUUGCUCACUAUCCUCUGCGAGAUAGCGCAAAGUGUCAAAGUGCGCACUUUAAAGGGCAUGGCCCCAUUCGUCUUUUGCCGGAGUUGGACUGCGUGCCUCCGGUCCUGUACUCUGACCUACAGGGCAUGGUCGCCUGUGCUCACGUGAUUAUAUCUCUUGAGGGGGAGGGGGGUCAACAGGUGGCUCCAAGCUUAGUGCUUGUUGUGAUUUCAUCCCUAAGUUUGAAUUGAUGCCAUAGACCGCACGAAGGUCAAUUCACUUGCUGCAGCAGCCAUGUUUGCUAAAGGAGUGAGCUGAUAGCCCUUCUUCAUAUGACAUUCCAAUUUGCUGCUAUUGCAUUGUGACUUCAUUUUCUUUUUUACAUUCUCCCGGUAAGAAAGAAUCCAUUAGAGACCAUACUACGCAUGAAAGGUGGAAUUUAAAUAUAAAGCUUUGAUAUAACAAAGUAAAUUGGCACUUUUACCAGCGCCACUAAAUGGAGCUUCAACUGUACUAGAAGCUAGCAAUCACUUUCCUUGAGCUCUGUACAAAAGGCUGCUUGCUUUCCUCAAUAAAAUUUAUAAUCAAACGGGCUAUUCUGCUAACUCUGGUACAGCUUGCACAUUAGUUUUUUUGAGCAGCACAUUGUAAGCUAUAUUUUGAGUGUUUGAUAGAUUAUCUAAAGAAGGACAUUAGUAUACAUAUACUAUAUGAAGCUUUUCUUUUUUUCCCACUUACCUUGUGGGUGCUGGUUGCUAUCUUAUUGAAGCUGUGUUCUAAUAUCCAACGUUACCUAAAUAAACAGCUAAGCAAACAACAGCUAUCUAAAGCCUCAUUCCGGUUCUGAUAAAGACAGCAAAAAAUUAAAUUCUGAUGCUUUAAGUGCUAAAACCAUGAAAUUAUUGGGAGGCAGCCCAUAGCGGGGGUCUCUGAAUUAAUUUUGACCACCUGGGAUUCCUUAAUGUACGCCAAAAUCUAAGUACGCAGGUGUUCUUGCGUAUCGCCUACAUUGAAAUGUGGCUGCCGGGACUGGGAAUUAAACCCACAACCUUGAGCUUAGCAGCGCAACACUUUUGCCACUAAGUUACCAUAGCGUGUGAGGGAGCCAGGAGGCAAGACAGUUAAGGUCAAGAAAGCAUCAAAACAAAAAAAGGUGCAAGAUACUGCUGUUCAAAAAAAAACGUGGCAGCGCAUAAUAUGACAAAAGGCUUAGAAACUUAAUGGAAAUGCUGUCUGCUCACAGGAAAACAUGGUCAGGCUUCCUUACGUGCUUAACAUACUGUUGUGUUUUCACAAGUACACAUAUGCAAAGUGUUAAAAUGCAGGGAUGGGCGAAUAUU